UACGUAGGGAGCAAGCGUUGUUCGGAUUUAUUGGGCGUAAAGAGCGUGUAGGCGGCCAGACAGGUCCGUUGUGAAAACUAGAGGCUUAACCUCUAGACGUCGAUGGAAACCGUCUGGCUAGAGUCCGGAAGAGGAGAAUGGAAUUCCUGGUGUAGCGGUGAAAUGCGCAGAUAUCAGGAAGAACACCCGUGGCUAAGGCGGUUCUCUAGUACGGUACUGACGCUGAGACGCGAAAGCGUGGGGAGCGAACAGG
rnacentral:rRNA from 1 species